rnacentral:rRNA from 1 species
AUUGAACGCUGGCGGCAGACCUAACACAUGCAAGUCGAGCGGAUGAAGGGAGCUUGCUCCUGGAUUCAGCGGCGGACGGGUGAGUAAUGCCUAGGAAUCUACCUGGUAGUGGGGGAUAACGUCCGGAAACGGGCGCUAAUACCGCAUACGUCCUGAGGGAGAAAGUGGGGGAUCUUCGGACCUCACGCUAUCAGAUGAGCCUAGGUCGGAUUAGCUAGUUGGUGGGGUAAAGGCCUACCAAGGCGACGAUCCGUAACUGGUCUGAGAGGAUGAUCAGUCACACUGGAACUGAGACACGGUCCAGACUCCUACGGGAGGCAGCAGUGGGGAAUAUUGGACAAUGGGCGAAAGCCUGAUCCAGCCAUGCCGCGUGUGUGAAGAAGGUCUUCGGAUUGUAAAGCACUUUAAGUUGGGAGGAAGGGCAGUAAGUUAAUACCUUGCUGUUUUGACGUUACCAACAGAAUAAGCACCGGCUAACUUCGUG